rnacentral:rRNA from 1 species
AGAGUUUGAUCAUGGCUCAGAUUGAACGCUGGCGGCAUGCUUUACACAUGCAAGUCGAACGGUAACAGGUCUUCGGAUGCUGACGAGUGGCGAACGGGUGAGUAAUACAUCGGAACGUGCCUAGUAGUGGGGGAUAACUACUCGAAAGAGUAGCUAAUACCGCAUGAGAUCUACGGAUGAAAGCAGGGGACCUUCGGGCCUUGUGCUGCUAGAGCGGCUGAUGGCAGAUUAGGUAGUUGGUGGGGUAAAGGCUUACCAAGCCUGCGAUCUGUAGCUGGUCUGAGAGGACGACCAGCCACACUGGGACUGAGACACGGCCCAGACUCCUACGGGAGGCAGCAGUGGGGAAUUUUGGACAAUGGGCGAAAGCCUGAUCCAGCAAUGCCGCGUGCAGGAUGAAGGCCCUCGGGUUGUAAACUGCUUUUGUACGGAACGAAAAGCCUGGGGCUAAUAUCCCCGGGUCAUGACGGUACCGUAAGAAUAAGCACCGGCUAACUACGUGCCAGCAGCCGCGGUAAUACGUAGGGUGCAAGCGUUAAUCGGAAUUACUGGGCGUAAAGCGUGCGCAGGCGGUUUUGUAAGACAGUGGUGAAAUCCCCGGGCUCAACCUGGGAACUGCCAUUGUGACUGCAAGGCUAGAGUGCGGCAGAGGGGGAUGGAAUUCCGCGUGUAGCAGUGAAAUGCGUAGAUAUGCGGAGGAACACCGAUGGCGAAGGCAAUCCCCUGGGCCUGCACUGACGCUCAUGCACGAAAGC